CCUCACUCUGACCAUACCACAUUAAUUUGGUCACAGCACCACCUAUUGAUCAAAAGUGAUAAACCAUUAAAUCUUUAUUAUUGACUGUAUAUAUCAUUUUUCAGCUCUUUUGCCUAAAAUGAUCCUAAUAGGUCAUUAAUUGCUUACUGUUGCAGCUGGUCUGAUGCUCCCAGCCAUCUUGGCUGGCUUGCUGUGCCUUUUUUGCUUGGCCCCAUAAUUGCUGCUUGCAGCUAUAUUUAUUAUUAUUAUUAUUAUUAUUAUUAUUAUUACUACAAUUACUAUUAUUAUUUCGUACUUUUGCUAUUUCGAGGCAUUAUGAUUACUAGCGAUUAUCUGAGUGACAAGUCUCCUGGUGAUAGUGGCCACUGCUGUUAGGAAGAGAAUCGAGAAAUGAGAUGUAGAAGGGUGUUUAAUAGGAAUCUCGCCUAGGGUGCCAAAAAGGCUAGAAACGGCCCUGUCCACAGAAAUAACUCAAAUGAAUUGGUGGAGUGCUUGAUUGGUAAGUACAUUUGCAUGUUGUUGGCAUAACAAUGAAAUGACACUCCGUACUAUCUGAAAAUGCUUUAUAUGAGCAAAUAUAAAGAAAAAAGUAUGGGAGAAAGGAUAGAGCCUUGCAGAACCCCCCAAGGAAGAUGUUUUUUUUUUUACCUGAGAUUGUAUUACUAUAAUUGACUGAAAAACAUCUAUCAUUCAAAUAGGACUGAAACAAUUUCAAAACUGCCCUUUAACCCUACUGAAUGUUCAAGACGAGAAAUGAGGAUGUUAUGGUCGAUCAUGUUAAAAGCUGCAGUCAAAUCAAGCAGCACCAAAACAACACCAUCUUCUUUGUGUAAAGCCAGGAAGAUAUCCCUUAUAACGCACCGACUCUGUGCUCUGGGCUGUUUUGAACCCUGACUGAAACAUUUCUCCUAUAGAAUUUUCAUGUAGGAAUGAAAGAUGUUAUGAUUGUUGUUGUUGCUGUUGUUAAUCAAGUGAAUAAUUAGUUUGAACCUACAAUUUGUGUCUUUAGAGGGUCUGCAAGCAUAAACAUCCAGUUUGGUCAGUCAGGACAUUUACUUUUUUGUUAUACUUUGCUGACUAACAAAACCACUGUCAAUAGGUUGUUGUUCAAACAAUAAAUGAGAGCACAUGAUGAUUGUACCAAAUGUUUUUUUUUUUUGUUUGUUUGUUUAUUUUUUCCAUUUUAAUUUUUUUUUUUCAUUUAUUCUGACAUAUUUUGUCAUUUAUUGUGCACUAAAACAACAGCUUUCAUAAACAGUUUUUAAUUGUUGUCUUUUGAUAUUGAACUGCCUUUCAUUUCUCUAAUUCAACUUCUCUUUGUGAUAGAGUUCCUGUGCAAGGAGUGCCCCAGGGUGCACAUCCACUUCAACCGUGUGGACAUAAGGGAAAUUCCUGCAGAGCCCAUCUUCUUCCGCAGGUGGCUACAUGAAAGAUUUGAAAUCAAAGACAAGCUUCUGACCGCUUUCUACGAAUCUGAAGACCCUGAGAAAAAGAACAGGUUCCCUGGAGAAGGACGAAAGUCAUAUCUUAGUCUAACAAAGACAUUUCCUUCUCUGCUGAUUUUGGGUGGUCUCACUUUACCAAUGCUGUUAACAGAGUCAGGUAGAAAACUCUAUCUCAAUACCUGGCUGUAUGGGACUCUGAUUGGAUGGGUGUGGGUAAAUGUAAGUCCAUAAGCUAGCCAUACA